GGGCCUAUAACUCAGUUGG
rnacentral:tRNA from 37 species